UAGGGAAUCUUCGGCAAUGGACGGAAGUCUGACCGAGCAACGCCGCGUGAGUGAAGAAGGUUUUUGGAUCGUAAAGCUCUGUUGUUAGAGAAGAACGUUGGUAGGAGUGGAAAAUCUACCAAGUGACGGUAACUAACCAGAAAGGGACGGCUAACUACGUGCCAGCAGCCGCGGUAAUACGUAGGUCCCGAGCGUUGUCCGGAUUUAUUGGGCGUAAAGCGAGCGCAGGCGGUUCUUUAAGUCUGAAGUUAAAGGCAGUGGCUUAACCAUUGUACGCUUUGGAAACUGGAGGACUUGAGUGCAGAAGGGGAGGGUGGAAUUCCAUGUGUAACGGUGAAAUGCGUAGAUAUAUGGAGAAACGCCGGUGGCGAAAGCGGCUCACUAGUCUGUAACUAACGCUGAGGCUCGAAAGCGUGGGGAGCAAACAGG
rnacentral:rRNA from 1 species